ACACUCCUACGGGAGGCAGCAGUGGGGAAUAUUGGACAAUGGGCGCAAGCCUGAUCCAGCCAUGCCGCGUGAGUGAUGAAGGCCCUAGGGUUGUAAAGCUCUUUCACCGGUGAAGAUAAUGACGGUAACCGGAGAAGAAGCCCCGGCUAACUUCGUGCCAGCAGCCGCGGUAAUACGAAGGGGGCUAGCGUUGUUCGGAUUUACUGGGCGUAAAGCGCACGUAGGCGGACUAUUAAGUCAGGGGUGAAAUCCCGGGGCUCAACCCCGGAACUGCCUUUGAUACUGGUAGUCUUGAGUUCGAGAGAGGUGAGUGGGAUUCCGAGUGUAGAGGUGAAAUUCGUAGAUAUUCGGAGGAACACCAGUGGCGAAGGCGGCUCACUGGCUCGAUACUGACGCUGAGGUGCGAAAGCGUGGGGAGCAAACAGGAUUAGAAACCCUGGUAGUCCCA
rnacentral:rRNA from 1 species